rfam:Desulfobacteraceae bacterium 4572_35.1 ex4572_35.1_scaffold_3310, whole genome shotgun sequence.
GUUGACCGCCGCACAGGCGGCUUAGAAA